rnacentral:rRNA from 1 species
CCUACGGGAGGCAGCAGUGGGGAAUUUUGGACAAUGGGCGCAAGCCUGAUCCAGCCAUUCCGCGUGCAGGAUGAAGGCCCUCGGGUUGUAAACUGCUUUUGUACAGAACGAAAAGGCUCUGGUUAAUACCUGGGGCUCAUGACGGUACUGUAAGAAUAAGCACCGGCUAACUACGUGCCAGCAGCCGCGGUAAUACGUAGGGUGCAAGCGUUAAUCGGAAUUACUGGGCGUAAAGCGUGCGCAGGCGGUGAUGUAAGACAGAGGUGAAAUCCCCGGGCUCAACCUGGGAACUGCCUUUGUGACUGCAUCGCUGGAGUACGGCAGAGGGGGAUGGAAUUCCGCGUGUAGCAGUGAAAUGCGUAGAUAUGCGGAGGAACACCGAUGGCGAAGGCAAUCCCCUGGGCCUGUACUGACGCUCAUGCACGAAAGCGUGGGGAGCAAACAGGAUUAGAUACCCCAGUAGUC